rnacentral:tRNA from 1 species
GGAGUAGUGGUUCAGUGGUAGAGCACUUGCCUGGCAUGUAUGCGGCCCUGAGUUCGAUCCCCAGCACCA